rnacentral:rRNA from 1 species
AGGACUAACGCUGGCGGCGUGCCUAACACAUGCAAGUCGAGCGGGGUAGCAAUACCCAGCGGCAGACGGGUGAGUAACGCGUGGUCAACCUUCCGUUGAAUGGGGGAUAACUAGCCGAAAGGUUAGCUAAUACCGCAUACGAUCUUUUGAAGGCAUCUUUAAAAGAUGAAAGGAGCAAUUCGUUCAACGACGGGACCGCGUCCCAUUAGCUAGAUGGUGGGGUAAUGGCCUACCAUGGCAACGAUGGGUAGCUGGUUUGAGAGAGCGACCAGCCACACUGGGACUGAGAAACGGCCCAGACUCCUACGGGAGGCAGCAGUGAGGAAUUUUCCGCAAUGGGCGAAAGCCUGACGGAGCGACGCCGCGUGUGGGAAGAAGGCCUUCGGGUCGUAAACCACUGUCGAAGGGGACGAUAAUGACGGUACCCUUGGAGGAAGCCCCGGCUAACUACGCGCCAGCAGCCGC